rnacentral:rRNA from 1 species
CUAAUACCCUGCGCUGGGUGUCGGAUGGCGGUGUGCCUAUUGAAGAAUGAGCCGGCGAGUUACGGUAUGUGGCGAGGUUAAGGGCUUUAAGGUCUGGAGCCGCAGGGAAACCGAGUCUUAAGAGGGCGUAUUAGUCGCAUGCCGUAGACCCGAAGCCGUACGAUCUAUCCAUGGGCAGGUUGAAGCCUCGGUGAAACGGGGUGGAGGACCGCACCACCGGCUGUUGAAAAAGCCUUGGAUGACCUGUGGAUAGGAGUGAAAAGCUAAUCGAGUACGGUGAUAGCUGGUUCUCCCCGAAAUGCAUUUAGGUGCAGCCUCGUAUAAAAAGAGUGGCGGGGGUAGAGCUACUGGAUGGAUGAGGGGGACUGGGGUCCUACCGAUUUCAACCAAACUCCGAAUACCGUUACUUGUAGAUACGGGAGUGAGACUACGGGUGAGAAGGUUCGUGGUCUAAAGGGAAACAGCCCAGACCGACAGCUAAGGUCCCUAAGCCCGCGCUGAGUGUGACAAGGAUGUGGGGGAGCCUGGACAGCCAGGAGGUUGGCUUAGAAGCAGCCACCCUUGAAAGAGUGCGUAACAGCUCACUGGUCGAGCGCCCCUGCGCCGAUAAUGUAGGGGGCUAAGCGCGGCGCCGAAGCUUCGGAACAUGCAUACUUGAGUGUGUGCGUAGUUGGUAGGGGAGCGUUCUGUACGGGGCGAAGUCGUGUCGUGAGGCGCGGUGGACUGUACGGAAGUGAGAAUGCCGGCAUAAGUAGCGAGAAACGCGUGGGAAACGCGUUCGCCGAAUGCCCGAGGAUUCCUGGGGAAGGUUCAUCCUCCCAGGGUUAGGCGGGACCUAAGGUGAGGCCGAAGGGCGUAGCCGAUGGAUAGCAGGUAGACAAUCCUGCCCCGCCCCGUAACCGUUACUACCGAUGGGGUGACGCAAGAGGCUAGGUGCUCCGGGUGAUGGAAAACCCGGUACAAAGGAGUAGGGGGACGGUCCAGGCAAACCCGGACCGUUAUUAACCCUGAGACCUGAUGUGGAUCCGCCGUAAUGGUGGAGAAGUCAUUGAGGCCCAAUUGCCGAGAAAAGCCUCUAGGGAGGGUAUGGGGCGCCCGUACCUCAAACCGACACAGGUGGGCUGGCUGAGCAGGCUAAGGCGGACGAGAUAACCCUCACCAAGGAACUCUGCAAGUUGACCCCGUAACUUAGGGAGAAGGGGUGCCGCGGCGGUGAAGUGUGUACAUACGGAGCUGCUUGCGGUCGCAGAAACCAGGCCCAGGCGACUGUUUAGUAAAAACACAGGACUCUGCUGAAGGCGUGAAGCCGACGUAUAGGGUCUGACACCUGCCCGGUGCUGGAAGGUUAAGGGGAGAGGUUAUCCGGCACUCAGCUGAUGUUGUCAGGAGUUGAAGCCAUGUAUUACGUGUAUGUACUUGAAAACGAAGAGGGAGGCACGUACACGGGUUACACGCAGGACCUUGCCAGGAGGUGGCUGAGGGAGCGUAUAGCCUGUAGCAUGGAAGAAGCUCUUAACGACAUUUGCUGAGUGCCGGAGAAGCUUUGAACCGAAGCCCCAGUAAACGGCGGCCGUAACUAUAACGGUCCUAAGGUAGCGAAAUUCCUUGUCAGGUAAGUUCUGACCUGCACGAAUGGUGUAACGAUCUGGGCGCUGUCUCGGUGGGGGACUCGGUGAAAUUGUGGUACCGGUAAAGACGCCGGUUACCCGUGGUGGGACGGAAAGACCCCGUGGAGCUUUACUGUAUCCUGAUAUUGGGUCUCGGUAUGUCAUGUACAGAAUAGGUGGGAGGCGUUGAAGGCGCGGCGUCAGCCGUGCUGGAGCCGUCGUUGGGAUACCACCCUUGAUGUACUGGGGUUCUAACCGCGAGUUCUGAAUCGGACCGCGGGACAUUGUCAGGUGGGCAGUUUGACUGGGGCGGUCGCCUCCUAAAGAGUAACGGAGGCGCGCGAAGGUCACCUCGAGGCGAAUGGAAAUCGUCUUUAAGAGUGCAAGGGUAUAAGGUGGCCUUACUGUGAGACCGACGGGUCGAACAGUCUCGAAAGAGGGUCCUAGUGAUCCGGCGGUACCGAGUGGAAGGGCCGUCGCUCAACGGAUAAAAGCUACCCCGGGGAUAACAGGCUGAUCUUGCCCGAGAGUUCCCAUCGACGGCAAGGUUUGGCAC